rnacentral:lncRNA from 1 species
UGCCUUGUUUGCUUGGCCUACUGCGAUCCAGCCGCGGUUGACUAGAGUCGCGGUGACAUCUUGCCCAGUCCUCCUUUGCUCCUUUCUUGCUUAUUUUCACUUGCAUUCUUCUUGAUUGGCCUUUUAUCCACAUUAUUGACUCUAAAACAUUCCAUAGUCCCUUCCUAACUUCAAUUAGAGUAUUUUGUCCCUGCGAAGCAAAAGAAC